rnacentral:rRNA from 1 species
AACGAACGCUGGCGGCAUGCCUAACACAUGCAAGUCGAACGAUACCUUCGGGUCUAGUGGCGCACGGGUGCGUAACGCGUGGGAAUCUGCCCUUGGGUUCGGAAUAACAGUUAGAAAUGACUGCUAAUACCGGAUGAUGACUUCGGUCCAAAGAUUUAUCGCCCAGGGAUGAGCCCGCGUCGGAUUAGCUAGUUGGUGAGGUAAAGGCUCACCAAGGCGACGAUCCGUAGCUGGUCUGAGAGGAUGAUCAGCCACACUGGGACUGAGACACGGCCCAGACUCCUACGGGAGGCAGCAGUGGGGAAUAUUGGACAAUGGGCGAAAGCCUGAUCCAGCAAUGCCGCGUGAGUGAUGAAGGCCUUAGGGUUGUAAAGCUCUUUUACCCGGGAUGAUAAUGACAGUACCGGGAGAAUAAGCCCCGGCUAACUCCGUGCCAGCCGCCGCGGUAAUAC